rnacentral:rRNA from 1 species
AGAGAGAGACAUGCGUGCAUAUCAAUAAGCGGAGGAAAAGAAACUAACUAGGAUUCCCUCAGUAACGGCGAGUGAAGCGGGAAGAGCUCAAAUUUGAAAUCUUCAAGGGUUUCUACCCUUUACGAAUUGUAGUUUAAAGAAGUGUUUUCUGUUGAGGUUUUGGUAAAAGUUCUUUGGAAUAGGACAUCAUAGAGGGUGAGAAUCCCGUAUUUGACCAUUACUUUCCAACUUUGUGAUACACUUUCAAAGAGUCGGAUUGUUUGGGAAUGCAGUCCAAAAUGGGUGGUAAAUUUCAUCUAAAGCUAAAUACUGGCGAGAGACCGAUAGCGAACAAGUACCGUGAGGGAAAGAUGAAAAGAACUUUGAAAAGAGAGUUAAACAGUACGUGAAAUUGUCAAAAGGGAAGCGUUUGACACCAGUGUUGUUUUCUCGAAAAUCAAUUAAAAAAGGCAGGAUUUUGUGUUGUAUUGACUUUAUCAGCUUUCUGCACUCUUUUCUUGUCUUUUUUAAUGCACUUUUCGUUUAACAAGUCAACAUCAAUUUCUUUUGUUGUAAAAGGGUCAUUGGAAGGUGGCUUUCUUUUCGGAGAAAGUGUUUAUAGCCUUUGGCCUCUGCAAUCGGAGAGAUUGAGGUCUGCAGCGUAGAUCCUUCGGGGUUAGAUACAUUUGUGCUAAGUUAUAGCCUUUCAUAGACAACUUGUUGACUAUGAUCAGUCAUGUAGCUUACUCGCUUAUGCUAUUUUACCUACGCUUAGGAUGUUGAUGUGAUACUGCGAGCA